UGCCCGGUGACCUACGGGUUAAACGGCCGCGGUACACUGACCGUGCAAAGGUAGCACAAUCACUUGCCUUUUAAUUGGAGGCUGGUAUGAAUGGUUUGACGAGGGCUGAGCUGUCUCUUCUGGAAUAUUUAAAAAUUAACUUCUAAGUGCAAAGGCUUAGAUUUAGCUGAGGGACGAGAAGACCCUGUUGAGCUUUAGUGUGGAAUAAAAGGUUUAUUUUUAUUAGAAUAGAAGGUUUUGAGUUUAUUCUUACAUCUUUAGUUGGGGUGACUAGGGAACAUGGAAAGCUUCUCUGUUAAUUUGUAGAAAUUUGGUUUACUGACGAGUGAUCCAGCAUUGCUGAUUAUCGGAAAAAGUUACCACAGGGAUAACAGCGUAAUCUUUCUGGAGAGUUCACAUUGAAAGAAGGGUUUGCGACCU
rnacentral:rRNA from 1 species